UGCCCAGCAACUCCUAUCCCUACCUUCACGCGGUACCGGCCGGAAACUAUGAGCAACCUUAGGGAAGAUCGGGUAGCCAACCCCGGUGGGAACUUUGGUCGUAGGCUGACAGGGAAGG
rnacentral:ribozyme from 1 species